rnacentral:misc_RNA from 1 species
GAUGAAGAACGUAGCGAAUUGCGAUAUGUAAUGUGAAUUGCAGAUUUUCAGUGAAUCAUCGAAUCUUUGAACGCACAUUGCGCCCGCCAGUAUUCUGGCGGGCAUGCCUGUUCGAGCGUCAUUUCAACCAUCAAGCCCCCGGCUUGUGUUGGGGACCUGCGGCUGCCGCAGGCCCUGAAAAGCAGUGGCGGGCUCGCUGUCACACCGAGCGUAGUAGCAUACAUCUCGCUCUGGGCGUGCUGCGGGUUCCGGCCGUUAAACCACCUUCAUAACCCAAGGUUGACCUCGGAUCAGGUAGGAAGACCCGCUGAACUUAAGCAUAUCAAUAAGCGGAGGA